UACGUAGGGUGCAAGCGUUGUCCGGAAUUAUUGGGCGUAAAGAGCUCGUAGGCGGUCUGUCACGUCGGCUGUGAAAACCGGAGGCUCAACCUCCGGCCUGCAGUCGAUACGGGCAGACUAGAGUUCGGUAGGGGAGACUGGAAUUCCUGGUGUAGCGGUGAAAUGCGCAGAUAUCAGGAGGAACACCAGUGGCGAAAGCGGCUUCCUGGUCCGACACCGACGUUCAGGCACGAAAGCGUGGGGAGCAAACAGG
rnacentral:rRNA from 1 species